UCUACAUAUCAAUAAUAACAAUCAUGCGAUUAACGCAAUAAAUGGAUUCACAGUAUGAUUUUUUAGUCAAAUGUUGAUAAUACGUGAUGAUGAUUCGUAAACAUCUCGUUAGAUCGGUCGUUCGAUUAAUUUCCUCGGCGUUGAAUUGAUGACUUCCUGCCGCGCGCUCUUGCUCGCUAACACUGGGCACUUAGUCGACACUGUUCUGGCUCUCCGUAUAUUCACAGUAUAUACGCACGUGUUUAUAAAACACAUGUUAUAUAUUUAGCUUCCAUGAAUCUCGUAUUUCUCUCUUAUUCUUCGCAUUCUUUCAGCAGUGAAGUUAGAAAGAAAGAAAAUCCAGACCGCAAAUUCUUUUCCUGCGGAACCUUUGCCGGGAACGAUGGUCUUAUCAUUCCGCGUUCAUGGUCAUUUCAUGGACAAAUAUAUACUGUGAAACGUUCGAUGGAUGUCGUUGGUAAUUCGAUAGUGUGAAAAACGACGUAUGUGUCCUAUCCAAACUGGCAGCACGAUUGUUGUAAACUCUCCGAGUCCACGGAGAACAUCGUCGCUUGGCAGAAGUUUCUUUCAACCGGACCUAUCAUCAUUGCUUCCGGAAAUAAUCGAAGAGACUGGAAAGCAAGAAAGUCUUGCUGUUGGAGAGAAAUAUUAAACAAAAAUAUACAUCACAGGAACAAUAGUCCAAUUGAGUUGUCGCUUUGAAUCAACAGAUUCGUUAUCUAGCUUUGGAGCAUGGCAACACAUAGAAGCAGUACGAUAUUGUCCAGUACGAUCAAUGCAGUAGGUAUGGAACGCAUGUUCGGACACUAUGAUAAGUUUCAGCGAGGAUCACUUGUCUGAGGAAUUGGCAUACAUAGUUGAAAAUGAUCUGAUGUUGUACGCUAUCAACACACAACUUUCUCAGAAAAAGAAUAUGACUGUGAUUUACGAAUCUAAGAUCACCGAUAUAAAACUCCACAAGAAGAUAUCAAUCAAGAUACCAAUUUGCUCUAUAGAGAUGGAAUCAGGAAAACGGUACAUAAAUGGAUUACUGAUAAGACAGAAUAAAAGAAGAAG